rnacentral:misc_RNA from 1 species
AUUUGUACAAGCAUUACCCUCAUGGGGUCACGAAGCGAAAGGGGAUUUAUUGUUCCCAAACACCCGAAGGAAAAGAAAUGGAUACAAAAACCUUAAAACUCUGAAAGGAGUACACGUUGUUACAGAUUAGUAUAAUCAAUGAACAUCCACACGACAAACAUCAUACAUACAACAGGAAGUUGUUAAUGGGAAAAGACGCAGGAAUUCACAAGCCAUUUGCCAAUUUACCACUCGAAGGAACCUUUAAUAUCAUCCAAGCUCUGCCCAAGGGAGUACUUGUGCAUGCAGUACUUGUAUUCUUGACUCCUUACUGUAUCUUUUUCCCCUUCCUCCAAAGGAUCACUUUGAUAAACGCGCUCAUAACAAACUGGUGACAAACAUUGUAGAGCACAAUUCUCCUUGUCUACUGCUGUAGCAAUGCACUUCUGACCCCAUAAUCCACUCUCAAUAUCUGCAUAACAUUGGAGUUUCUUCUCUCUGAUCUCUGCAUCAGAGAUUGGACGACGAGACUUAGCAAGUACUGUAUUAGAAGAAGACAGAGAAAU